rnacentral:rRNA from 1 species
UGGGGAAUUUUGCACAAUGGGGGAAACCCUGAUGCAGCGACGCCGCGUGAUUUAGAAGGCCUUCGGGUUGUAUAAAUCUUUUGUAUGGGAAGAAAAUGACAGUACCAUACGAAUAAGGACCGGCUAAUUACGUGCCAGCAGCCGCGGUAAUACGUAAGGUCCGAGCGUUGUCCGGAAUCAUUGGGCGUAAAGGGUACGUAGGCGGAUAAGCAAGUUAGAAGUGAAAUCCUAUAGCUCAACUAUAGUAAGCUUUUAAAACUGCUCAUCUUGAGGUAUGGAAGGGAAAGUGGAAUUCCUAGUGUAGCGGUGAAAUGCGCAGAUAUUAGGAGGAAUACCGGUGGCGAAGGCGACUUUCUGGCCAUAUACUGACGCUGAGGUACGAAAGCGUGGGUAGCAAACAGG